GGGAGCAGGAGGGUUGCUGACAGUGUACGACACUGAGGAAAGUCCUCUCUCCACGAUGCAAGCGGCCCGGUUGACGCCGGGGGCUCGAGAGGGCCGGCUCUGGAACAGAAACGAACCGUGCUGCGCGAGUACGAUGAAUCCGAAAGGACGAGAUUGCGCAAACCCGGAUGAAACGGCCAUCCCCGCUGGAGCAAGUCCAAGCAGGCCUGUUAAGUUGCAUCGGCAAGGGCCGGGUAGGAUGCAAAGUUGAAUGCAACCAGCCGCAAGGUGAACAGAAAGGGGCUUACUCCCUGCACCC
rnacentral:RNase_P_RNA from 10 species